rnacentral:rRNA from 1 species
AUUGAACGCUGGCGGCAUGAUUUACACAUGCAAGUCGAACGGUAACAGGCCUUCGGGUGCUGACGAGUGGCGAACGGGUGAGUAAUGCAUCGGAACGUACCCAGAGGUGGGGGAUAACGCAGCGAAAGCUGUGCUAAUACUGCAUGUGAUCUGAGGAUGAAAGCGGGGGACCGAGCAGCAAUGUUUGGCCUCGCGCCUUUGGAGCGGCCGAUGUCGGAUUAGCUAGUUGGUGGGGUAAAGGCCUACCAAGGCGACGAUCCGUAGCUGGUCUGAGAGGACGACCAGCCACACUGGGACUGAGACACGGCCCAGACUCCUACGGGAGGCAGCAGUGGGGAAUUUUGGACAAUGGGCGCAAGCCUGAUCCAGCAAUGCCGCGUGCGGGAAGAAGGCCUUCGGGUUGUAAACCGCUUUUGGCAGGAACGAAACGGUGUCCGCUAAUACCGGGCGCUAAUGACGGUACCUGCAGAAUAAGCACCGGCUAACUACGUG